GAUCUCUCCCUCCCCAACUGCUCCACUUCUUCUCCCUCAUCUGUUAUCUCUCUGAACUAAACGUUACCUUCAGACAUUACUGAUCAAUCAAUGAAGGUCUUUAAGCUCCUCUUAAUUGUUUCGUUCCACUUCUCAUUCAUCCUCCUCCUAUAUAGUUAACUCCAUACAAAAUCGAAAACCUACUCUGAAGCAGCUACAUCUAUGACCAUGAAAUCGGCCGGAAAAUCUCAGGUCUCCACCUGCAGGACUCCGGUCUCCUUUUACUUCAACGACAUCUCACCAGUUCCAGUCGAAUCAGAGCUCUGAUUUCGCCUGAUCCACUUCUGGAAAGCCAGAAACAUUGCAAAAGGUGGAACCUUUAUUGGCUUAGAGAUGUUCCUCAUCGACAAACAGAUAUGCCUACUUAUCCCUUCUUUUUCUUUUAUUUGAGAAUAUAACAAUCUCUCUAAACACUGUGUGUUAUAUUGGAAGUUUAAUUCGGCUUGAAAUGAUCAUAUUAGUUCAUUAACGCCUUUGUCUGAUUUCAUUUGUUGGUUUUAAUGCCUUAGUUUCGAGACAUUAAAAAACGACCACAUACAUUUGAGUACAGAUUUUAACACUCACAACUUUUAACAUCCAACUUUUAGCACUAGAUUAUUUAAAAACAUGUAACUGGAAGUUUCUUUUGGCUUGGAAAUGUUUUUUCAUGUAAUGACUAUCUUAGUGAAUGACAGGUGUGCUAUUGGGAACUGCUAUAGUUUGCGUAAAGAUCAUAAAUAUGUUGUUAAGAUGUCAGCAAGCUAUUCAACUGAAUGAAAUAUCGAGUUAUGCACAUAUGCUUUCUGGUCACGAGUAUAAUUCUUUUCUAUUUCCCUCUUUGUUAUUAGCUAUUUCUACAUUAUAUGAACCCAACACUGUCCCUAAUCAUGUGUAUUUAUGUUCUCAUGUAGCGUUUCGUUGAGGCCAGUAUAUAUAUCUUUUAAGCUGGAAAAAAAUGGGACAAGCUGGAAGCUGAAGUGAAGAAACAUUUUCCCCUUUUAGCUCCAGAGGCUUUGCUUUAUUUACUUUUUAUACUAUUUCUAACAAUCGUUUUUGAAAGUGCAAGAUAGGAUGAAAAGCUAGAUGGACAUGCAUGUAUAUAUGAGCAAGUUUUCCAGUGAUAUAUUCAAAGUACGGAUGAGAACGUGACCCAAAUCAUGAACAAAUAAAUCAUUUGUAAGGUUGGUGAAGCUCUUUUUUUAUCUUCUUUUUAACAACUUAUCCUUUGUCCUUUUGACAGACAAUUUACUUUCUUGGGUGGUUUUGGGUGUAACGUUCGGAGUUGAGAAUGAUAAUGUUGACUACAAAAGGGAAAGUGGGUUAGGAGUCCGAAAGAGGACGAGAAGAAAAAUUUCUCUUAAACCUAAGCUAAAAGAAUUUCUUGGUUAAAAUGUAUACAGUCUUCUUUUUCUUUGUUGGACAACCCCAUAGAGUAUAUCCUUUUCAAGUUCCAAAAUAUAUAAUUUGAAGUUAGUAGAAAUAUGGUAUACACUCGAUCUAAUACAAUUUUAGCUAUUAUUCCUGA
rnacentral:lncRNA from 1 species